GCCUCCUGAGACCUCCAGGAGAUGGAGGAUAGGAAGGGUGUAAUGACCUGGGUGACAGUGGAAUCCCAACAGACUGGUUUGUAGAUGCCCCAGGACACAAUGGCUAGAGGCACAGCCUUGAUGAAUAAGGAAGGAAGCUGAGUCUUGGAAAUGUCCAUCAGAAUGACUGCCUCAUGAAAGGUUAAACAGUUCACUAUGGACGUGAGAUUCGUCAUAAGGAGAAUGAGUAACAUGGCCACCCGCUGGAAGCUGAGUUUUGGAAUUCAUCAACUCUGCCCUGAUUCUUUCUUGCAUGAGACCAGUUGGAUCACUGCGUGCAGUGCUUCAGAAGUUCAAUUCCAGAUCUGGAGACUGUGGGAUCGGGGUGCAAGGCUGGAGAGGGCCCUGACCUUGUAUUUCCAGGAGAGCCUGCCUGAUAACUGUCCAUCUUCCCGGAGAUGAAAGUGCUGGGACAGCUGAGAAAGGUGGACCUAGACUGAGGGUUCAGUAACCCUUCUCUUGGGCCUCUCACAACUAUUUGAAUCCCUGAGGUGGAAUUAGGAAGGUUGACAGCUAUGAGGGCAGGGCCGAGCUCAGUUAGGGAGGAGCUGGAAUUUCAACACUGAAAACUUGGAUGAAGACAUUUUGAUGUUGGCAUGAACAUCAUGGACAUUGUAGCAACUAAACAGACUAGCCAAAGCAAUCAGCCAUGAGGGUAGAGAGACUCUCUCCUUCCUAGACCCAGGGAAAGCCACAGGGGUGAAGAAGGGGCCAUCAGUGGGAACUGGGCCAGUGACAGCACUGUGACCUAAACAGGAAGGGGAGAGGAAAUAAAUACCCCACUGGCCCUCUCACUUCCUGCUCUGGUGCUUUGGUUACUGCUUUCUGGAG
rnacentral:lncRNA from 1 species